rnacentral:rRNA from 1 species
GCGACCCCAGGUCAGACG